rnacentral:rRNA from 1 species
GAUGAACGCUAGCGGCAGGCUUAAUACAUGCAAGUCGUGGGGCAGCAUGAAUGUAGCAAUACAUUUGAUGGCGACCGGCAAACGGGUGCGGAACACGUACACAACCUUCCUAUAAGUGGGGAAUAGCCCAGAGAAAUUUGGAUUAAUACCCCGUAACAUAAUGAUGUGGCAUCACAUUAUUAUUAUAGCUACGGCGCUUAUUGAUGGGUGUGCGGCUGAUUAGAUAGUUGGCGGGGUAACGGCCCACCAAGUCUACGAUCAGUAGCUGAUGUGAUGGCAUGAACAGCCACACGGGCAGUGAGACACGGGCCCGACUCCUACGGUAGGCAGCAGUAAGGAAUAUUGGUCAAUGGACGCAAGUCUGAACCAGCCAUGCCGCGUGAAGGAUUAAGGUCCUCUGGAUUGUAAACUUCUUUUAUCUGGGACGAAAAAAGGCGAUUCUUCGUCACUUGACGGUACCAGAUGAAUAAGCACCGGCUAACUCCGUGCCAGCAGCCGCAGUAAUAC